rnacentral:rRNA from 1 species
CAUGUGGUUUAAUUCGAUGGUACGCGAGGAACCUUACCAGGGCUUGACAGUACGUUGGAAGCGCAUCGAAAGGUGCGUGCCGCUUGCGGCCGGCGUACAGGUGCUGCAUGGCUGUCGUCAGCUCGUGCUGUGAAGUGUUGGGUUAAGUCCCGCAACGAGCGCAACCCCUGCUGCCUGUUGCCACCACGAGAGGUGGGGACUCAGGCGGGACCGCCGGUGACAAACCGGAGGAACGGUGGGGGACGACGUCAAGUCAUCAUGGCCCUUAUGUCCUGGGCUACACACGUGCUACAAUGGCCGGUACAAAGGGCAGCUACCUGGUGACAGGAUGCUAAUCUCAAAAGACCGGUCUCAGUUCGGAUCGGAGUCUGCAACCCGACUCCAUGAAGCUGGAAUCGCUAGUAAUCGCGCACUCAGCCAUGGCGCGGUGAAUACGUUCCCGGGCCUU